AAGCGAUUUAUAGCCAGGCCGGAAUGGAUUGGAAUCAGAUGGCAAAAACCCAGAUUAACCCCCUGGAUCCUGGUGGCCCUUGGUCAGUCUUUGCUAUUAAUGAUACUUUCAACCGAGUGAAUGCAUUCAAGAUUUUCCUUUGAAGGUAAAUAUGCAGCUCAGUCCCUGAUGUCUGCCUGUCGCAAAAAUGUGUGAAGGGAGACCAAAUGUCAAUAAAAUCUCCCUGCCUGCCUCAACCCACGACAUAAUCAGCUCCAAGGUAAAUAAAUGGAUGUUUGAAGCCUCAGCUGGGAAGGCUCCGAGGCUCAGGGGGACUUGAAGCCGGUGGCUGGAAUUGGGAAUCAUCUGAAGGCUCCUUCACCCACCUGUCUGGCACUUGGGCUGGGAAGACUCAAAGGCGAUCGGCCAGAUGCCUCCUACAGGGAGCCCGUGUGGCUUGGGCCUCCUCACAGCGUGGCAGCCUCAGAGCAGUCAGACUUCUUAUCCGGCAGCUCAGGGCUCCAGGUGCCAGCGCGUCAGGAACAGGCAGAAGCACGUGUGUGGAAGAUGGAUGGAGAGCGUCUGCCUGCAUCCACAGAGGAAAACACAUCCCGGCUGGCUCCGCAGCCCCUAGAGAAACAGGGCAGAGGCCGCCCCUGGGGGCCGGAUGCUGCGAGUCCUGGGGGCUUGGAGGCCAGGUCUCUCCUAAUAGCAUGCCCAGUCAGCCGGCACUUGCCCGCUUCCAAAGCCCCCUCCUAUCUGCCGAAGGCUUUCUGCUGUGGACACGGUCUCCAAGGGGACGAUGUGCUGCCUGUGGGGCAGAGGGGCAGGGAUGGGAGUGAGGCACACAAUGAAAGACUUACAGGGACUUUCCUUCUAGAAGCAAGGGAGCCUUUUCUUGGACUCCUGUCUCACGGCUGAUCUGACCCCAAGGUGGCUCUGCCGGACCAAGGCUUUUCCCGGGUGAGAUCAUGCAACAGGGCCAUGCUGUCCAUGCACAGCGGACAAGGCCUCGGGCCUCUCACCCCGUCAGACUUCCACAGCGGGCUCUUCCAGGCGCUGGCGAUUCUUGCAAACAUAGAUGAAUGUCACGAAAGGGAAAACUUUUCGAAAGAAAGGAAUCAAUCUCAUUUGGAAAGUAUAUUUAGCAAAAGGAAAGCAAACACUUCAGGAUGGAUUAACUUUCCAGUUUUACACUCAUUUAUCAAAUAUUUCUGGAGUGACAAGUACAGGCGAGGCACUGCCGUUGGCUUGGGGCCCCUGUCCCAACAGAAUUCAAGGGCUUUUCCCGGCUGGUAGGCAAUUUAUUGGAAAGUGACAGUCUUGGAAACCAUGCCUCACAGCCCUCCAACUUAAGGGAACCUAAAUGCAUAAGGGCCCCAGCUGCCCAGCUCUGGAAUCCAUCCCAGCAUUUGGGCUGAGGCUACACCUCCCACCGGCCGCCCCAGCCAAUGACCGAGCCAGGCGCCGCGCUCAGGAGAAACAGGACGCCUCUGACAGCUGACUUGGGUUUGAGGACAGCCUGCCGGCCUGGCUGAACUUUCCAGAGUCUGCUGGACAGUCUGGGAUGCUCCCGCCCACCUCCCUGCCCUCUCGCCUUCACUCAGGUCAGACCGCAUCACAGCCUUUCUGUUCUCCCAUCCUUUGCCAUUUCCCUCCCUAUUUCUCUCACAGGCAUUUCCCCUAAUAAAAAUCCUGGCACAUUUAAUUGUCUCCUGACACCUGCUUCUUGGAGGACCACUACUGCAGACGUAUUGCCGCGUCCUCUGCCUCCAUCUUCUGCACGGGCUUCCCAGACAGGACCCCCCCCCACCUCCCCACAUCGCGACUCUAGCUGAUGUGAAGCCCUUGCAGACACCUGAAUUGGCUCAUUGCUUAGGAGUCGCUUUAUAAUUUGGCAUCUCCCCAGUAGAUUCUAAGCUGUGUAAGAACUUACAAUAUCCUUAAGGCUCCUCACUUAGAUGUUUCUCAGAGGUGUUGCUGACACAUCGCAGGGAGGUCCUUGCCAUCAAGCUCUUAUGUCAUAUUUCAAGAUACCUCUGUGAUUUAGUAAUAAAAUUCACAAUUACUAUUGCACAAUGAGUCCACAGCCCGUUGCUAAGUUGUUUACAUGCAUUACCUCACUUAAUGCCUAACCGUCUCGGCACACACCCCCAUCACCCGCCCACCCAUCCAUGCAGAGGACGUCCUUUCUUCCAAACACAGUUCUAUGGCUUACUCUCACUUGGCAGCCCCUCCUCCUCUGCGAAUCCAAAUCAAGACAUUUGCAGGCAGAACACAAAGAUCUGAUCUUACAAAGUGUGAGCAUUUUCCAAGAGACAACUGAUACCCAGGUUGAGAAAUCCCAGGCACACGGCUUAGUAACAAAGUCCAGCUUUGCCGAGGCUUACAGACGAUAUAAUCAACUCCUCUUUUUAAUCCUACCCUGUUUGACAGCACACCGCACCUCAUACCACCACUGGCCAUUUCUUUCCUUCUGGUGUCUUGGCUUCUUGGUACUUGAAAAACCAGGCCUCUGGGCUCACAUCCAGGACACAUCCCAGGCAUCCCCCAACCCUUUGAGCUUGAUCCAUCCUCCCUGGCCCCCAACUUUGAGAAAUGUUCUCCUGUUCACUCUGGGAUGCACGUCUACAUACUCAACAGAAAGCCACGGGCUGGCUGGUCGGGAGACCUCACACAAGCUACUUGGCACCUGCGAGCCUCAAUUCCCUCGUCUGU